GGACCUGACUGCUAUCGGAUUGAUACUAAGCCAUGCGAGUCAUUGUAGCAAUACAAGGCAUACGGCUCAGUAACGCGUAGUCAACCUAACCUAUGGACGGGAAUAACCUCGGGAAACUGAGAAUAAUGCCCGAUAGAACAUUAUGCCUGGAAUGGUUUAUGUUCCAAAUGAUUUAUCGCCGUAGGAUGGGACUGCGGCCUAUCAGUUUGUUGGUGAGGUAAUGGCCCACCAAGACUAUUACAGGUACGGGCUCUGAGAGGAGUAGCCCGGAGAUGGGUACUGAGACACGGACCCAGGCCCUAUGGGGCGCAGCAGGCGAGAAAACUUUGCAAUGUGCGAAAGCACGACAAGGUUAAUCCGAGUGGUUUCUGCUAAAGAAACCUUUUGUCAGUCCUAGAAACACUGAUGAAUAAGGGGUGGGCAAGUCCUGGUGU
rnacentral:rRNA from 1 species